rnacentral:lncRNA from 1 species
UUCUUUCUUUUAUUCUCUGAAUCGCAACAUUUACGAUUCCUUAUAUUCCAUAAUUGCACUUAUUUUACGAUCCAUAUCAUUAGAGUUGUUGUAUAGAUAUAGAAGUCUCAAUACAAUAACCUUUAUAUAUAUCGAAUAAUUCAAUAUUCACAACCUGGUAUUACAUACACAUUAUAACCUGUCAUCUACAUACACCGGAAACUGUUAGCAUGGUUCAAAGUAAUACUUCUAGCUAAAGAAAUUUUUUUCCUUGCAGGACUUCUAAUCCUUAUCAUCCAGAUAGCACAUAUUAUUACCUUGAAUCCUUAACUUGCAAAAAUUUUGUUCUGCAAAAUUGAGCUCGAUUGCUCCGCAAAUCUAACAGUUUUCAUGCUUCAUAUAGCACAUAAUAUCAUGCUCAGUUUAUAAAUCAUAAUCAUUUAACUAAACAUAUCAUAAAUGUUGUGUUACACAUAUCAUAUAAAGAUUGAAUUCCACAAUUAAAUCAAUUUAGUCAUAAGUUGUCUUUCGCAAUUUGUAGAGAAUCAUACAUACAUAAUCCAACAUAUUCAUUGAAGAAUAGAUCACAAAUAAACAAUAUCAAGCUCAUAUAACACAUUGGAACUGAAAAACUUGCCUUGCGAGUUGAUUACAACUACCGCUACCUGCGCUUCAUGAAUCCUAUAUAGUCAUAUCAUCACACGUAAAUUCACAUCAAUCAUACAACCCUUUUCAAUUUAAUUCAUAUUUAACUUAAGGUAAAACCCUUGACUAACUUUCAAAACUUAACCCCUUUCUUACUCAUAGCUUAUUAAUUCAAGAUAUAAAAUGCUUGAAAAUCUAACUCCAGACUUGAAUCCAUAUCAUGAGCCUACUUAAGGUUAAUUAAAUAAACUUUAUCUUAUCUCCCUUCAUGUUCCUCUUUGUUUGACACUUCAUAUUUAGUUAAGUCAUUAAGUUAAUCUUCGUCUCAUAUUUCUUUAUAUUUCUCUUUUAAUAGACACUUAACGUUCCAUUAAUUAUUUAAAGUUUACCUUUACAUCACCUUAGAUGUAUAUUAAGUUUAUUCAAUUUAAUCAAGAACUUUCACAACAUACUUCUAAAAUUUUUCUUUUAAAGUGUUACUUAACAUUUCUUUAAGUCUUUAAGGCCUUUCAUUUCAUCACAUUAUCUAUAUAAUGUUUAUUUGAAUAAAUUGAGUUACAUUUAUUUCAUGCCUCUCAAUACUUCUUUCAAUGAUCACUUAACAUCCAGUUAAGUUUCUAAGGCUUUCCAUUUUAUCAUAUUAUGUGAAUAGUGUUCACAAAAAUUUAUUGAGUUAAGUCUCUCUUGGCCAUACUUAUAAAAGCUCUUUACGCGUGGCCGCGCCACUUUUGACCUUGCUACCAAUGCGGCAACGCCAAGAUUGGCUUGAUUUCCAGCGCGGCCACGCUGGGAUACAAAUUCAUUUUAUGCAGUUCGAUUUCAUACUCUGUUUUCAUCCGAAAAUCAUUUUCUCCUCACCCAUUAUCAAAUUAAACUCGUUUUCAACUCUAUAAACUCAUUAAACACCAAACUUUAUACUUAAAAAAUGAUUACAGCAUUCCAUAAAUUUUAAUAAACCACUUUAAUGUCUCAAAUUUGGUGUUCAUGCUAGAUUUUCAUAUUUUUACAUAUUUUACUAAAUCUUCCACCACGGAUUCGUUUUAAAUCCAUUUUAGUUCAUUCAAAUUGGUAAAUUUCUAUAUCUCAGAGGAGUAUAACAUAAAUCCUUCAAACUAAAUUUUUUAAACAUAAACACACCACCAUAAAAAUCUCUAAAACAGAUCAAAAUGUCUAAAAUUAGUCCAAAUGUCAUUUUCUUUCUGUUUACACACAAAUUCGAAUUUUUUUUCUUCGAUUUCACUUGCAAAUAACACUAAUCAGUUUAUUAAUCAAUUGAAAUCACAUAAUUUGAAUUAUUCUCCAACUCAUUCAACCAAACAACUUCUAACAGAACAAAACUUAAGAAAUAGGAAUUGGGAGUUUUGGAGUUUCUUUCUUACCUCUUAGAUCUUCUUUAACCUAGUUAGAUGAUGCAGAAUGCUUGAUCAAUCCCUUCCUUCUUCUUCCUUGAUUUCUCUUAAAAUUCCCUUCAACUCUCACCCAAAACCCAUUUCACUCUCAUACUCUCUCUCUACACAAAGAAACUGAAGAAUUAGGCUUUACAUGAUUUUAAUUUGGCUGAGCGUUAUAAGGAGUAGAAGGGUCAGAGCAAUUAAGCGUGUCUGAUUUCCCAAUAAUUGAUUUGCCUACACAUUUUUUUCUUUUUCCCCUUUCUUCUAAUUGCUGAUAAAUACUACCUUGUUUGUAA